rnacentral:lncRNA from 1 species
AUUCCCUGCCCAAGUUCCCGCAGCUAGCAAUGGCGAGAUGUGGAAUACAAACCCACGUUCUUAAUCCAAAUGCUGCAUUCUCAGGCACGAUGUUCUCGUGCCUCCAAGUAGACAUUUGCUGAUUGAAUGGGGUUGAACAGCAACACAGGAGCAAGUGUGGCUAAGUGCCAAAUGGCUAGUGCAGUGGGAAUUUCUGCAGCAGUUGAGAAAGAGUAGACUGUCUCUAGAAGCUAUUGGUGCCACUAUGGGGCCGUCAGGUGGGUCAAGCAAGCAGCUGCUGGUGGGGAAGGCCUUUCUGGGCAGCCCAAGAGGAAGAGACCUCAUAGAAAAACCAAGCCAGAAAUGGCCACUCCGUCACCAGCCCCCUCUUAGGUCAUAUUUCAAAGACUGGCUCAGGGCCACCGGCUGGGGCGCGCGACUGUGAGAUCAUGGCUGAGCAAUCUGACUCUGAAAAAUAUAAGGACCAACUUGGGAGUUUUAUCACAUUUCUGCCGCCCAGGCAUGAAGUCAGCUGGACUGCGCGUGACAGGGAGCGAUCCUCUUGUAAUUAGCCGGGGUGUUUUUCUUUCAUGUUCUGCCUAAAUUCGGUGUGCUGCGAUCGCGUCCGCUCCCUCCGAGCUGCCCCACAGCAGUAGCGGAGGAUGAACCAUGUGAAAGUGCCAGUUUUGUGAGUCACCAUUGUGUAUGGUUCAACCUGGUACCUGUCAGUUAUCCAGUCUCGUGUGCCGAUGUCACUGUCACCGUGAGGUGUGGUUCUCAUUCCUGAAUCUGGAUGAAUUGGCUGGAAGCUCAGGAAGGAGGUUUCUCUUCAGGAAAGAAAUGGAAGAAUAUAAGCCUCCUGCUCCAGCAGCGCCCAUGGCUGCCUUCCAGCUGGGCCUGGAUCCUCUGCUAUCGUGGACCCCACCCUGCACGUUCCUGUCUGCAUCUGGAGGCCCCGCGGCCUCUGGCUGUUGGCCUACUAGAGCAAGGCAGACUUUCUCAGCCCAGCAAAGGCGUUGGCUCUGGAGACAAGAAGUUAGAGAGAACUCAAGAAGCCAAUGGAAAUGUCUGUCCAGCUCAUACUGAAACUACCUGGGCUUCCCCCCUGAACCUGGACUACUCUGAAAUGCCCACCUUUCCCUGGUACGAGUGA